rnacentral:rRNA from 1 species
CUUGAACGCUGGCGGCAGGCCUAACACAUGCAAGUCGAACGAGUAGAGGCCGGGUGGGUAAUGUCUGGGAAACUGCCUGAUGGAUGGGGAUAACUACUGGAACCGGUAGCUAAUACCGCAUACCAUCAGCUGUGCCCAGAUGGGAUUAGAGUGUUGGUGGGGUAACGGCUCACCAAGGCGAAGAUCACUAUCUGGUCUGAGCGGAUGACCGGCCACACGGGAACUGAGACACGGUGCAGACGCCGACGGGAGGCAGCAGUGGGGAAGAUUGCACAAUGGGCGCAAGCCUGAUGCAGCAAUGCCGCGUGUAUGACGAAGGCCUUCGGGUUGUAAAGUACUUUCAGCGGGGAGGCGUUACCCGCAGAAGAAGCACCGGCUAACUCCGUGCCAGCAGCCGCGGUAAUAC